ensembl:lncRNA
GUGGUGGUUUUUCGUUUUUUGAGAAAUACUGGUCUCAUCAAGAGAAUCUAAGGAUUCAGGAGUGACGGACGAUUAACAGCCAGGAGAUGGCAGUAAUGCAACAGUUUUGGAUGCAAGCUGCCGUUAAACUUGACUGAAGAAGAAGAAGAAGCUAUGUCUGCAGUGUCGGUGUCUUCAGUGAGAGCCAAAACAAACCAACUUUUCAGCGUGAAACAAAUCAGCUCGUAACCUGAUGAAACGGUCUCCACUUCAUCAGACAUCACCUAGACACAGAGCUGGAUGAGACCAGCACAAACAGCAGCCUAACCGACGAAGAUGAUGGAUCCAUGGGGUGAGGAAAGCCAGAAGCAGAGGAACUGGAGAGGUACCUUUCACUGUCCAAUCACUGGAGGUGUGGAUGUAUUGCAUGGCUUUCCUCAGAUCAAGAAGCUGUGGAUCAAAGACUUUUUAGUCACGCAGGACUCCUGUUCACUGCUAAACGGUCGCAGCUUCACAGCAAGAACCUUGAGAGCCUCCAUCUCAAGCUGAAGCACCAUUUCACUGACUGAAGAAACAAUUUAUGGUAAAGUGAGCCAUACACAUAUGUACAUCCACAUAGUGGGAAUUUGUAUUUGUCUUUUAUAAUUAGUUUUACUCUGAUUUCAGUGUUUAUUUGUGAGUGUAGUUUUUACAUUUUUACAUAUUACAUUGUGCUAAUCCACUGUCUAUACUUCAGGGUUUUUUAGUAUACAAAAUAAGUUUUGUUAGAAUGUCUAUUCUUGUGGAAUUUUAGCACAAUGUUUUUUUUUUGUUUUUUUAAUUCCUGCUGUCCGCCUUGGGAAUAAACUUUUCCUGAUUAUACCUGUUGCAUCUCUGUGUCAUUUGUUUCUGAUUUACUUAAUCCCUCCUUCUAUUUAAAAAAAAAAAAAAAAAAAACACCCCAACACCCCCAGUAUGACAUUCUGGCGCAUCAGCUGCAGUCUGUUAUGUUGAAGCUGCCUCGUUCUAAUGUUUUCUCUGAGGCUGCUGUAAAUGCGAAUAUAUUUACUGUGGGUUUUGCUUGAAAAAGCUUUACGUUGUGAAAAACUGAAAUCUUGAAAUUAGAAUUGUUGUGCCUUAUUUUGUGGAUCUUUUUACAUAUAUUCCUUUUGAAAAUACUAAAAUUU